rnacentral:rRNA from 1 species
CUGAACCAGCCAAGUAGCGUGAAGGAUGACUGCCCUAUGGGUUGUAAACUUCUUUUAUACGGGAAUAAAGUGACCACGUGUGGCUUUUUGUAUGUACCGUAUGAAUAAGGAUCGGCUAACUCCGUGCCAGCAGCCGCGGUAAUACGGAGGAUCCGAGCGUUAUCCGGAUUUAUUGGGUUUAAAGGGAGCGUAGGCGGGUUGUUAAGUCAGUUGUGAAAGUUUGCGG